UACAGAGGGGGCAAGCGUUGUUCGGAAUUACUGGGCGUAAAGGGCGCGUAGGCGGCCUGCUAAGUCGAACGUGAAAUCCCCGGGCUCAACCCGGGAACUGCGUCCGAUACUGACAGGCUUGAAUCCGGGAGAGGGAUGUGGAAUUCCAGGUGUAGCGGUGAAAUGCGUAGAUAUCUGGAGGAACACCAGCGGCGAAGGCGGCGCUCUGGGCCGGAACUGACGCUGAGGCGCGAAAGCGUGGGGAGCAAACAGG
rnacentral:rRNA from 1 species